GAUGAACGCUGGCGGUAUGCUUAACACAUGCAAGUCGAACGGACUCUUCGGAGUUAGUGGCGGACGGGUGAGUAACGCGUGAGAAUCUGGCUUUGGGUUCGGGACAACCACUGGAAACGGUGGCUAAUACCGGAUGUGCCGAGAGGUAAAAGAGAAAUUGCCUGAAGAUGAGCUCGCGUCUGAUUAGCUAGUUGGUGAGGUAAAGGCUCACCAAGGCAGCGAUCAGUAGCUGGUCUGAGAGGAUGACCAGCCACACUGGGACUGAGACACGGCCCAGACUCCUACGGGAGGUAGCAGUGGGGAAUUUUCCGCAAUGGGCGAAAGCCUGACGGAGCAAUACCGCGUGAGGGAAGAAGGCUCUUGGGUUGUAAACCUCUUUUCUUAGGGAAGAACAAAAUGACGGUACCUAAGGAAUCAGCAUCGGCUAACUCCGUG
rnacentral:rRNA from 1 species